rnacentral:rRNA from 1 species
AUGGCUCAGAUUGAACGCUGGCGGCAUGCCUUACACAUGCAAGUCGAACGGCAGCACGGGGCAACCUGGUGGCGAGUGGCGAACGGGUGAGUAAUGCAUCGGAACGUGCCAUUGAGUGGGGGAUAACGUAGCGAAAGUUGCGCUAAUACCGCAUAUUCUGUGAGCAGGAAAGCAGGGGACCGCAAGGCCUUGCGCUCUUUGAGCGGCCGAUGUCAGAUUAGCUAGUUGGUGAGGUAACGGCUUACCAAGGCGACGAUCUGUAGCGGGGUCUGAGAGGAUGAUCCGCCACACUGGAACUGAGACACGGUCCAGACUCCUACGGGAGGCAGCAGUGGGGAAUUUUGGACAAUGGGCGCAAGCCUGAUCCAGCCAUGCCGCGUGAGUGAAGAAGGCCUUCGGGUUGUAAAGUUCUUUCGGCCGGGAAGAAAUCGCAUGGGUUAAUACCCUGUGUGGAUGACGGUACCGGAAUAAGAAGCACCGGCUAACUACGUG